UUCCGGUUGAUCCUGCCGGCGGCCACCGCUAUUGGAAUUCGAUUAAGACAUGCGAGUCUUAAGGACUUCGGUCCUUGGCAUACGGCUCAGUAACACGUGGACAAUCUGCCCUAAGGUGGGGGAUAAUUUCGGGAAACUGAAGAUAAUACCCCAUAGAUCAUGGAUGCUGGAAUGCUUCAUGAUUCAAAGCUCCGGCGCCUUAGGAUGAGUCUGCGGCCUAUCAGGUUGUAGUGGGUGUAGUGGACCCACUAGCCACUGACGGGUACGGGCGUUGGGAGACGUCGCCCGGAGAUGGAUUCUGAGACACGAAUCCAGGCCCUACGGGGCGCAGCAGUUACGAAAACUUGACAAUGCGGGAAACCGCGAUCAGGGAAUUCCAAGUGCAUGCACAAUGUGUAUGCUGUUCCAUUGUCUUAAAAACAUAGGAAGUAAGGGCUGGGUAAGACAGGUGCCAGCCGCCGCGGUAAUACCUGCAGCCCGAGUGGUGGUCGAUAUUAUUGAGCCUAAAGCGUCCGUAGCCGGACUAGUAAAUUCUUGGGUAAAUCGGGCAGCUUAACUGUCCGACUUCCGAGGAGACUGCUAGUCUUGGGACUGGGAGAGGUCAGAGGUACUCCAGGGGUAGGGGCUAAAUCCUGUAAUCCUUGGGGGACCACCAGUGGCGAAGGCGUCUGACUAGAACGGAUCCGACGGUAAGGGACGAAACCCUGGGGCGCAAACCGGAUUAGAUACCCGGGUAGUCCAGGGCGUAAACGCUGCAGGCUUGGUGUUGAGGAUCCUACGAGGAUGCUCAGUGCCGGAGUGAAGAUGUUAAGCCUGCCGCUUGGGGAGUACGUCCGC
rnacentral:rRNA from 1 species